GGUCAAGUUAUUAAGGGUGCAGGGCGGAUGCCUUGGCACUAGGAGCCGAUGAAGGACGUGAUAAGCUGCGAUAAGCUUCGGGGAGUUGCACGUAAACUUUGAUCCGAAGAUUUCCGAAUGAGGAAACUCACUUAGAGUAAUGUCUAAGUAUCAUUAAGUGAAUACAUAGCUUAAUGAGGGGAACUCAGGGAACUGAAACAUCUAAGUACCUGAAGGAAGAGAAAGAAAUUCGAUUCCGUAAGUAGCGGCGAGCGAACGCGGAUUAGCCCAAACCAAUAAAGUUUUCUUUAUUGGGGUUGCGGACAUAUCAUAACGAAGAGGUAUCGUAAUUGAAGAGGUUUGGAAAGACCCACCACAGAAGGUAAUAGUCCUGUAUGUUAAACGAGAAGACUUUAGAUAUGAUCCAGAGUACCACGGGACACGUGAAACCCUGUGGGAAGCAGGAGGGACCACCCUCCAAGGCUAAAUACUACCUAGUGACCGAUAGCGUAUAGUACCGUGAGGGAAAGGUGAAAAGAACCCCGGGAGGGGAGUGAAAUAGAACCUGAAACCCUGCACUUACAAGCUGUGGAAGCACAUUUCUUGUGUGACCGCGUACUUUUUGUAGAACGGGCCAACGAGUUACGUUAAGUAGCAAGGUUAAGCACUUAAGGUGCGGAGCCGUAGCGAAAGCGAGUUUUAACUGAGCGUUCAGUUACUUGACGUAGACCCGAAACCGGGCGACCUACCCAUGAGCAGGAUGAAGCGAAAGUAAAAUUUCGUGGAGGUCCGAACCCACGAGCGUUGAAAAGCUCGGGGAUGACUUGUGGGUAGCGGUGAAAUUCCAAUCGAGCCCGGAGAUAGCUGGUUCUCCCCGAAAUAGCUUUAGGGCUAGCCUCAAGGUGAGAGAUACGGAGGUAGAGCACUGAAUGUCCUAGGGGGUAUUGCACCUACCGAAGACUAUCAAACUCCGAAUGCCGUCAUCUUAUACUUGGGAGUCAGACUGUGGGUGAUAAGAUUCAUAGUCGAAAGGGCAACAGCCCAGAUCGUCAGCUAAGGUCCCUAAAUGUAAGUUAAGUGGUAAAGGAUGUGGGAUUGCACAGACAACCAGGAUGUUGGCUUAGAAGCAGCCACUCAUUCAAAGAGUGCGUAAUAGCUCACUGGUCGAGUGAUCCUGCGCCGAAGAUUUCCGGGGCUAAAACUUACUACCGAAGCUACGGCAUCAGUAAUGAUGGGUAGGGGAGCUUCCCAUACGGGUUGAAGCAUGACCGUAAGGACAUGUGGACAGUAUGGGAGUGAGAAUGUUGGCAUGAGUAGCGAGAUGUGGGUGAGAAUCCCACAGGCCGUAAACCCAAGGUUUCCAGGGGAAGGUUCGUCCGCCCUGGGUUAGUCGGGACCUAAGCUGAGGCCGAAAGGCGUAGGUGAUGGACAACAGGUUGAUAUUCCUGUACUACCGAUAACCGUUUGAGAGAAGGGAUGACACAGUAGGAUAAGCUAAGCACACUGUUGGUUAUGUGUGCCCAAGCAUUGAGGCAGUCAAAGCAGGCAAAUCCGCUUUGAUAAUGCUGGGAUGUGAUGGGGAGCGAAAUUUAGUAGCGAAGUAGCUGAUUUCACACUGUCAAGAAAAGUCUCUAUCGAGGUUAAAGGUACCCGUACCGCAAACCGACACAGGUGGGUGAGGAGAGUAUCCUAAGGCCAGCGAGAGAACUGUUGUUAAGGAACUCGGCAAAAUGACCCCGUAACUUAGGGAUAAGGGGUGCCACCAUCAGGUGGCCGCAGAGAAUAGGCCCAAGCGACUGUUUACCAAAAACAUAGGUUUCUGCUAAGUCGCAAGACGAUGUAUAGGAGCUGACGCCUGCCCGGUGCUGGAAGGUUAAGGGGAUCUGUUAGAGCAAUCGAAGCAGUGAACUUAAGCCCCAGUAAACGGCGGCCGUAACUAUAACGGUCCUAAGGUAGCGAAAUUCCUUGUCGGGUAAGUUCCGACCCGCACGAAAGGCGUAACGAUUUGGGCACUGUCUCAACAACAGACUCGGUGAAAUUGUAAUUCCGGUGAAGAUGCCGGAUACCUGCGACAGGACGGAAAGACCCCAUGGAGCUUUACUGUAGCUUGACAUUGGGUCUUGGUACUACAUGUACAGGAUAGGUGGGAGGCUUUGAAACCAGGACGCCAGUUUUGGCGGAGCCAUCCUUGGGAUACCACCCUUGUAGUACUGGGACUCUAACCAUAGGCCAUGAAUCUGGUCUUGGGACACUGUCAGGUGGGCAGUUUGACUGGGGCGGUCGCCUCCCAAAAGGUAACGGAGGCGCUCAAAGGUUCUCUCAGUACGGUCGGAAAUCGUACGUAGAGUGUAAAGGCAAAAGAGAGCUUGAUUGCAAGACAUACAGGUCGAGCAAGGAUGAAAAUCGGACUUAGUGAUCCGGUGGUUCUGCGUGGAAGGGCCAUCGCUCAACGGAUAAAAGCUACCCUGGGGAUAACAGGCUUAUCUCCCCCAAGAGUCCACAUCGACGGGGAGGUUUGGCACCUCGAUGUCGGCUCAUCACAUCCUGGGGCUGUAGUAGGUCCCAAGGGUUGGGCUGUUCGCCCAUUAAAGUGGUACGCGAGCUGGGUUCAGAACGUCGUGAGACAGUUCGGUCCCUAUCCGUCGCAGGCGUAGGAAAUUUGAGAAGACCUGUCCUUAGUACGAGAGGACCGGGAUGGACG
rnacentral:rRNA from 1 species